rnacentral:ncRNA from 19 species
AAGUCGCGCCUCGUUCCAGGUGCCACAGAUCUUUGUGGCCAAAUGGGAAGACCGGUGAAAGUCCGGCGCUGCCCCCGCAACGGUAAGUGAGUUUUUCUCACCAGCCCGACACCAGCCUAGAGUACGUUUUUCAAU